CCCCAAGCGGCUCCUUCAACCCCUGAGAUCUUAAACAAAAUCUCUGGCUUUUCUUCUGACCUGGGAAGGAGGAACUCCGGCUGCGGUGGCCGUGUGCUGUGAACAGAAAGAACCCGUGCUGGUACACCAGGCAUGUGCUGCCACCCAGCGAGGCCAGCAGUCUACCAACUGAGCUAACUGCCAGCUGCUGCCCUUCCAAUUCCAAGCCUGGAAGAUGUGAGUAGCACAGGGCGAGAUUUCUGACCCACAACACCUCCCAUCCCAGCACUGGAGACUGAAGCAUGGAUUCUGAGGCCAGCCUGGGCUACCAAAGAAGACUGUGUUUUAAAAAGAAAAAGAAAAAAAGAAAAUUAAAAUGGACUAACCCUCGAGUGCUCAGAGAGCAGCAGGGGGCCUACCGGGCUCCGCCCACUGCUACAAUGCUUCCCCUUCGAGGUCACUAGGCUACUACCCAGUCGUUGAAGAGGAGUAUAGCUCUGACACCAUGCCAGCAGUUUAAACUGGAUACAGGAGAACUUGCAUGUAAGAGCCACUUCCAGAAGGUCCCAAGAGCACAGAGAUGGGGUGGGGAGUGAAUGGGCACCUCGAACCCUUGUCCCCAUCCAGGGGUGGGAGGGGAUUAGUGUAGGAUGGGAGCAGAGCAUCUUAGUGCAUUAUGGAAAGCUCUGAAGUGGGGGGUCCAGUGACUGCUCUGCUGUCCACAGCCGUGGGCUAGGACAGAUACGGUGGGGACAGUGACAAGGGAGACCAGCAGUCCUGUGGCUGUGGCUGUGUGUGGCCAAGCCAGUGAGACCCUGGGCAUGGCUGGCAUUGUUUAUACGAAUGUGAAUUCUGGGGUCGCCCUGUUUGUGCUCUGAGCUGAGUAAGGCUCUCAACAUAAAUGAGGGAGGCAGGGCCCAGCAAGAUGGCUCAGCAGGUAAAGGUGCUUGCAGCCAGGUCUUGAUGACCCAAGUUCAAUUCCCAUUUGAUGGAAAGAGAACUGACUCCCCUCAAGUGAUCUCCACAUGUGUGUGGAUGCAUUCACAACAGAUAAAUAAUAGCUAAUAAUA
rnacentral:lncRNA from 1 species